ensembl:lncRNA
CCGAUUUUGGGGUGGGAAAAUCCCGAUUUUGGGGUGGGAAAAUCUUGAUUUUUGAGCGGGAAAAUCCCGAUUUUGGGUGGGAAAAUUCCCAAUUUUUGAGCAGGAAAAUCCUGAUUUUUUUGGGGGGAAAAUCCCGAUUUUUAGGUGGGAAAAUUCCCGAUUUUUGAGCAGGAAAAUCCCGAUUUUGGGUGGGAAAAUUCCGAUUUUGGGGUGGGAAAAUUCCCAAUUUUGGGGGGGAAAAUUCCGAUUUUGGGGCGGGAAAAUCCUGAUUUUUAGGUAGAAAAAUCCCAAUUUUUGGGUGGGAAAAUCCUGAUUUUUAGGUAGAAAAAUCCCAAUUUUUGAGCGGGAAAAUCCCAAUUUUUGAGUGGAAAAAUCCCAAUUUUUGGGUGGGAAAAUCCCCAUUUUUUUCCUUGGAUUUCCUCAUUUUCCCCCAUGGAUUUUUAGGAAUUUUUGGUCGAUUCCUUUCACGAUUUCGUGAAUUUUUCACCCAAAUUUUUCAUUUUUUUUCCCCCGUUUUAAUUUUUAUUUCAUUAUUCUAAUCAACUUCAAACCAUUUUUAAUUAACUUUAAUUAAUUCUUUACCUUUUUCUCCCCCGAUUUUUGACGCUUUUUAAUUUUUAUUUCAAUUUAUUUUCAUUUUAUCUCCUUUAUUUUUUAUUUUUAAGAUCAUUUUGGGAUAUUUUUCAUUUUUCCCUGGAUUUUAAACGGAAUUUUGGGCGUUUUCCCCACGAUUUUUAUCAAUUUUUAGGUAAAUUUUGCUGAAUUUUUCCCAUGAUUUUAAGAAUUUUAAUUAUUUCCCCAUUUUUUUACAGAUUCUUGAUUUUUUAAAAUAUUUUUUAGGGAAUUCUGGAUGGAAUUUUGGACGUAAUUUCGCUUUUUUUCCCCCCAUUUUUAUGAUUUUUUUUGCACAUUUUUAAUUUUUUCCCCUUUUUUUCCCCUUUUUUAUCCAUUAUUUCCCUUUUUUCCCAUUUUUUAACCGUUUUCCUCCCGUUUCCCACAGAAAAAUUGGAGCGAGAACCUCAAAUCCCCCCAAAAAUCUGAUUUAAUCCAUCAGAAAAAACAGAAUUUUGGGGUAAAAAACCCAAAUUUUGGGGCUUUUCGCUGCUCAAAAACCUCCAAAUUUCAUUUUUUUUCCCUAAAAUUGGGAUUUUUUUGGGGGGAAAAACGGGAAUUUCGAUCCCAAAUCGCCAGAGGGGGGAAAAAUCCUCGGGAAUUUGGGGAGAAUUCGGGAUUUAUUUACAAUUUUUAUGGGAAAAAAGACACAAAAAAGAACAAAAUUUUCCCCAAAAUUUUCCCCAAAAUCCAUCCCGAGGAUCCGGAAAAUUCCAGGGAUUUUUGGGGAUUUUAUUGGGAAUUCUUUGGGGUCAAAUUUGGGAUUUUUGGGGUCGGAUUUGGGAUUUUUUGGGGAUUUUUUGGGGUCAAAUUUGGGAUUUUUGGGGUCGGAUUUGGGAUUUUUUGGGGAUUUUUGGGAUCGAAUUUGGAAUUUUGGGGAUUUUUGGGGUCGGAUUUGGGAUUUUUGAGCUCAAAUUUGGGGACUUUGGGGUAUUUUUGGGUCAGAUUUUGGGGUUUUGGGGUUGGAUUUGGGGAGUUUUGGGUGAAUUCUGGGCAGAUUUGAACAACCCAGAUCAAAUUUUGGGUGAAUUUGGAUGAAUUUGGGUGGAUUUUGAGUGAAUUUUGGGUUGAUUUCAUUCCCCCCACCCCACAUUUCACCCAAACCCAACCCAGAACACGUUUUAACCCAAUUUAACCCAAUUUAACCCAAUUUAACCCAAUUUUAACCCAAUUUUAACCCAAUUUAACCCAAUUUUAACCCAAUUUAACCCAAUUUUAACCCCAAUUUAACCCAAUUUUAACCCAAUUUAACCCAAUUUAACCCAAUUUAACCCAAUUUUAACCCAAAUUUAACCCAAUUUUAACCCAAUUUCAAACCCAAUUUUAACCCAAUUUUAACCCAAUUUUAACCCAAUUCCAACCCCACUUUAAUCCAAUUUUAGCCCAAUUCCAACCCAAUUUUAACCCAAUUUUAACCCAAAUUCAACCCAAUUCUGACCCAAUUUUAACCCAACUUUAAUCCCAUUUUAACCCAAUUCUGACCCAAUUUUAACCCCAUUUUAACCCAAUUCUGACCCAAUUUUAACCCAAUUUAAACCCAACUUUAAUCCCAUUUUAACCCAAUUCCGACCCCAUUUUAACCCAAUUCUGACCCAAUUCUGACCCAAUUUAAACCCAACUUUAAUCCAAUUUUAACCCAAUUUUGACCCAAUUCCAACCCAAAUUUAACCCAAUUUUAAUCCAAUUUAAACCCAAAUUUAAUCCAAUUUUAACCCAAUUCUGACCCAAUUUUAACCCACUUUAAACCCAAAUUUAACCCAAUUCUGACCCAAUUCCAACCCAAUUUAAACCAAACUUUAAUCCCAUUUUAACCCAAUUCCGACCCCAUUUUAACCCAAUUCUGACCCAAUUCCAACCCAAUUCUGACCCAAUUCCAACCCAAUUUUAACCCAAUUUUAACCCAAUUUAAACCAAAUUUUAACCAAAUUCUGAUCCAAUUCUGACCCAAAUUUAACCCAAUUUUAACCCAAUUUUAACCCAAAUUUAAUCCAAUUUUAACCCAA